GGGCCCGUAGCUCAACGGUGCUGCAAAGCGUUAGAGAGCGCCGCCCUUGCAAGGCGGAGGCUUCGGGUUCGAAUCCCGACGGGUCCA
rnacentral:tRNA from 1 species